GACGAACGCUGGCGGCGUGCCUAAUACAUGCAAGUCGAGCGAAGUUUUUCUGGUGCUUGCACUAGAAAAACUUAGCGGCGAACGGGUGAGUAACACGUAAAGAACCUGCCUCGUAGACUGGGACAACUAUUGGAAACGAUAGCUAAUACCGGAUAACAGCAUUAACUGCAUGGUUGAUGUUUGAAAGUUGGUUAUGCUAACACUAUGAGAUGGCUUUGCGGUGCAUUAGCUAGUUGGUGGGGUAAAGGCCCACCAAGGCGACGAUGCAUAGCCGACCUGAGAGGGUGAUCGGCCACACUGGGACUGAGACACGGCCCAGACUCCUACGGGAGGCAGCAGUAGGGAAUCUUCCGCAAUGGGCGAAAGCCUGACGGAGCAACGCCGCGUGAGUGAAGAAGGAUUUCGGUUCGUAAAGCUCUGUUGUUAGGGAAGAAUGGAUAUGUAGUAACUAUACAUAUAAGAGACG
rnacentral:rRNA from 1 species